GAUGAAGAACGCAGCGAAAUGCGAUAAGUAAUGUGAAUUGCAGAAUUCAGUGAAUCAUCGAAUCUUUGAACGCACAUUGCGCCCUCUGGUAUUCCGGGGGGCAUGCCUGUUCGAGCGUCAUUAUAACCACUCAAGCUCUCGCUUGGUAUUGGGGUUCGCGGUUUCGCGGCCCCUAAAAUCAGUGGCGGUUCCUGUCGGCUCUACGCGUAGUAAUACUUCUCGCGAUUGAGUUCGAUAGGUCUACUUGCCAGUAACCCCCAAUUUUUACAGGUUGACCUCGGAUCAGGUAGGGAUACCCGCUGAACUUAAGCAUAUCAAUAAGCGGAGGA
rnacentral:misc_RNA from 1 species